CUGCCAUAACAAGUCAGAGCUAACAAAUGAGUUAGCAAGCUAGUGCUGACUAGCCAAACUAGUGGCAAAUAUAAUAUGUCUAACUAAAUUCUCAGCUAGAGCUAGUCAGCUAACUACUCGCCUUAUAAUUAGGAUUGGUAGAUGUCCGGUUUUCAACAGGAAUGGCCAGUUUUUAAACUAUUUGUGCAGGUCCGGUUUGUGAUACUAACAGGACAAUAUAAUGUCCGAGAAAUUAGCGCUUUUUCCAGAUUUACAAUUCGCUAGAAAUUCAUGUGCAUUAGAAAGUUACUGCAACAAGACUGGUGUUAAAUAAACGUAGAAAUAAAUGUAACAUGCUAUAUUUAAUUGCUCACUAAGGGGGAAUCCACCGAUUCGAAGGUAGAUGAUGGAAAAAUGUUGAAGAGAUAUAAGAAUAUCACACUUGCUCAGAACCCACACCACAGAGUUCAAGUGUAGCUGGCCAGUUUACGUAGUGCAAUCGCUAUGCGCUUUUAUACCCACACUUUUUUGGCUUGCGAUUUACUAUUAGUUUCUUCAUAGUUUCCCCCGGGAUCCGGAAGUGGAUGUGAAGUGCUGUCUGACAUCUUCUCACCACACACUGGAACGGUAGCACGGCCAGGGAGGGGCCCCCUCAGCACCUUUUCAUUAAUAUGCAGUACCUUCUACAUACCCUUGUCCUCAGAUGACUUCUUUUCCAAUUUUUAAAGAGGCAAGUGACCACCUCCACAAUUCCCCCACAGAGCUGCAGUUGAACAAUUAUCGAUUCCCAGGAGAGAGGUUUCCCCAGAAUCGACGUCAAAGGAUUCCUACCCACGCUUUGGAAUUAGGAACAUCUCAUUUUCAUCCUCCCUCAUGCACACACACACUCUCUUAUUAAACGAUAUGAGCUUGAGGCACCUUUCUCUCCUCUUUAACUCUUCAGGGCACUCAUGAAUCCCUCCUGCACUGAGCAAGUAACUCAAAGAGGCAGUGUUCCCUCUUGGUAAAGUCGUGGGCUGCCCUGAAAAAUGAGAUUCAGGCCUACCAGCCAGACGUGGGCGUCCGGAGUUCCUUUCUCUAUGACUAAGACUAAAUGUGGAUGGAUGGUGAGAUAAGGGGCUGUGGCAGUUUUUAUGUGACGAACGUUUGUCAGAAAGAGGGGACGCAGGGUACAUUUUAUCGUUUAGGAUAAAGGAAGAUUGAUAUUUUUUCAUUGAACCUUCUUGCUGUUUAUAUAUUUUUUUAAAGUAACACAGUACAACAGAACUACAAAAAACAUAAAAAUAUAGAAUAACUUGUGCAUUUGCAGCUGCAUGCAGUAAGUAACUCCUGAGCUGAACACCUGCAUUUUGAAGGGAAUACUGAUAUACUAUGAUUUCCUGACAAACCCAUCCUCUGUGUAUGACUAGAAAACAGGCAUUGAUAAACUGGGCUCUACUUUCACACAUGGUGUGUUGUGAACCGCACUGGCGAAAUGGUAUUUUCUUCACAGAUAAAUACGUGCCAGAGCUGUUUGGUAAUUCCCUGACUUGCCAUGUGCAAAAGUGGAAGGAGAGUCGCUGCUGGGGGUGUGUCAGUCAAGAUCGAGAAGUGGACUGAAAUUCUGGUGCAUCUCAUUGCAAUUUUUUGGUCCGUCUGGUGUGUGCUUUGCGCCAUCGCCUCCCACUGUCUACGGCCAUCCUUUUACUGGAUUGCAAAUUUCCCAUGCAAUUCAAGCAUUAUCAUAGCCUAUUGAAAAGCCAAUAAACUGUUUUCGUGGAUCAUA